rnacentral:RNase_P_RNA from 1 species
CGCGGCUGCAACGGCCGAAAGGCUGCAGACGAGGAAAGUCCGGGCUUCACAGGGCAGGAUGCCGGAUAACGUCCGGUGGAGGUGACUCCAAGGCCAGUGCAACAGAAAUAAACCGCAUGAAGUUAAUCUUCAUGUAAGGGUGGAAAGGCAGUGUAAGAGACUACCGCCUCGCUGGUAACAGAGAGGGCACAUGUAAACCCCAUCCGAAGCAAGACCGGAACAAAGCAAUGUGGCGGCCCGUCACGCUUUAGGUAGGUCGCUUGAACCUGGCGGUGACGCCAGGUCUAGACAGAUGAUUGUCCAACGACAUAACCCGGCUUAUCGUUUUGCUU